rnacentral:lncRNA from 1 species
GGCGGUUGGCAACAUGAAAUUUGUUAGAAUACUCAAAGUAUUCUUGCAGUGGUGAACCAGCUGGUGGUGGAGAUUCUUUACCCUUCAUUUUCAGCACAGAGUCAGACUUUUCCAUUGUUGCAGCAGCAUUAAUGAGGUUGUCCUCUUCCCUUGAACUGCGGGAAGAGGUAGAACCAAGGCUUCUCAGGCAGCACAGAGUCGGACUUUUCCAUUGUUGCAGCAGCAUUAAUGAGGUUGUCCUCUUCCCUUGAACUGCGAGAAGAUGUAGAACCAAGGCUUCUCAUCUCGGAAGAUUUAAUGGAACUUCCACGGCCUGUUGACAGUGACCUGAGUUCUUGAUCCAUUGCAUGGAAAUCAUAUCUAGAAGUAUCGUAAUCUUCAGAAGAGAAGGUCAUGCUAGGACGGUUUUUAUGUGCAUUGGAGGAUGGAUUCCCUUCAUUCAACAUGACUCUAUGCUGAUGAUCCAUCUUGUCAGUGCUUUUAUUAUGUGCAUUGGAGUAUGGAUUCCCUUCAUUCAACAUGACUCUAUGCUGAUGAUCCAUCUUGUCAGUGCUUUUAUCCACUCGUUCUUCAAUAGAAAUAGCAAGUCUAUUGUCUAAAACU